rnacentral:misc_RNA from 1 species
AGGAACUUGCGGCUGAGAUACGCUUCACGGGCGUCAUACACACACUCGCGUACACAGCUCCUUCGUCUCUUGUCUUGUUUUCGCUUCUAAUUCCACUUUUCUGUGCCCCUCGAAACGUGCCCUGGGGUGAGCCCGAGAGCCAGUCACUCCCCUCCUUCUGUGAUCGCUUCUCUUGCUGUGGUUGCUGUUCGCGUACAGCCACCCCAGCCUCUUCCCUCUCAAUAGUUUCCGUAGUGGGUGACGCGUUGGCAACGCUGUUGUGCGUCCCUCUUCUCCUCGCUCCGCCUCCGCCUCUUUUUCGUUCGCGGCGCGCUUUUCUCUGUUUUAUUUUGCCACACGCAUAAUUGCUGUUUUCGGGGGCUGCUCCCUCGAUCUCUCCGUCGUGUCAUUGUGACAACCCUCGCACCUCUCUAGCCGACGUUCCCCGCUCCGACCAGUCGCGGGUUUGUGCACUUCAGGCCUCUUGCAUCUUCCAGUCAGAGGUGGCCGUGAUCGAGAACGCGGAAAGGCAGUCGGCUCAGUAGGAAUCAGUCUCGGCGACGUCCUUCGGGUGAAAAGGGAGAACGCCGCAUAGAGCCGAGGAGCUGCGAGGAAGAGUUCACCGAUAAAGUAAGCCAAGGAGAGGCCCGCCUCUCCCUGCACUAUACACGAUCUCUCUCCGUUGAUCCUGCACGUGACACCACGAGAGGCGAACACACACACACACACACACAGACACAUCUCGCACACGUGUCUGGGCGAGGGUUCGCAGCUGCAAAACGGUAUACAACUAAUUUAAAAAGCCGAAAAUAUGAUGCGCCGAUUGGUGCCUGUGCGUGGCGUGGUAAGCUGCGUGUCUGCAGUGGCCCCCACGAGUGCGUUCCCGCGCGCCUCUCAUGCGGCUCUCAUCACGGGGCGCCGCCACGCCGCAGAGGUCGUGCCGGAGCGGCAGCUGCUCUUCGACAACGACAGCUUCCUGAGCGGCAGCUCGGCCAUGUACAUGGACGAGCUUUACCAGCAGUGGAAGAAGGAUCCGGCUUCGGUGGACGCUUCGUGGGCGGAGCUCUUCUCUCGCAGCGACCUCGGCAACUACGACCACGCGCUGCUCGACACACCGAUUUGCGUGCUGCCGACGGAGAGCAGCGACGAGGCGGUAGUGAAGCAGUCACUGGCUGAUUGUGGUCGCCUCAUUCGGAUGAUCCAUACCUUCGAGGACCGUGGCCAUCUGAUGGCGCAGACGGAUCCGCUGAACUACAUGGACACUGACGUCACCGAGCGCACGCCAUCGCGCCGGUAUAAGGAGAUGGUGCGGCUCGACCUCGCGUACUUCGGUUUUAGCGAUAAGGACCUUGACCGCGUGGUGCGCGUCGGCUUUCAGAAUCAGAUGGGCGGCGUCUAUGACACCUCCUCACCCCCGAUGACGAUACGUCAGCUGCACGAGCUGCUGACGGAGCGCUACUGCGGUCGGAUCGGCUUUGAGCUGGUGCACCUCACCGACGGCGACGCCAAGCGCUUCGUUCGCAGCCAAAUCGAGCUCAAAGACAGCUCCAGCGCACUGCACCGCCCGAUGAGCAGAGAGGAGAGGCUCCGUAUCUGGGACACGGUUGCCUCAGCCGUGUUCUUCGAGGACUUCUUCAAGCGAAAAUAUUCGACCCAGAAGCGCUUCGGCUGUGACGGGGCGGAGACCAUGGUGGCCGGUCUCCGCGCCUUGCUGGAGAAGUCGUCUGAGUUUGGCGUCCAGACGAUCAACCUCGGCAUGGCCCAUCGCGGUCGCCUGAACGUGCUGUGCCAUGUCAUCGGCAAGCCCUUCGAGGUCAUCCUUAAGGAGUUCGUGGGUGUAACGGGGCAGGAGCUGCACCCGUUCCAAAUCCAGUCCGAUGUGAAGUACCACCUCGGCUACCGUGGGCAGCUGAAGCUGAAUUCUGGCAAGGUGAUGCAGACGGAGAUGCUGUGCAACCCGUCUCACCUCGAGGCUGUCAACCCUUUCGUGCAGGGCUACACACGGGCGAUGCAGGUGUCCUUGGGUGAGAAGGGCCGCGAGAAGGUGCUGCCGAUUGAAAUUCACGGCGAUGCGGCCUUUGCCGGCCAAGGCGUUGCCUUUGAGACAAUGUGCAUUAGCGAAGUUGGCGAGCAGGACACGGGCGGCACGGUGCAUGUGGUGUGCAACAACCAGAUCGGCUUCACCACGGACCCAAAGUCGAGCCGCAGCAGCGCGUACUGCACCGACCUCGGCCGCGUUUACAACUGCCCGAUUCUCCACGUCAACGGCGACUACCCCGAAGAGGUGAUCCGCGUGUUCGAGUUUGCGGCUGAGUACCGGGCGCGAUUUCACAAGUCCGUCGUCAUCGACCUCGUGUGCUACCGCCGCUUCGGCCACAAUGAGAACGACGACCCGAGCAUCACCCAACCACUCAUGUACGAGCGCGUGCGUGCCAUGCCGGAUGUGUUCCGGCGGUACACGGACGCCCUCAUCACCCAGGGCAUCGUGACGCCGCAGCAGUCGACGCAGAAGGCGAUUGACGAGAAGGCGCGCUACGGUAGCUACCAGGAGGCCGCCGCGCAGGUGAACUACGCCGAGUACCUGAAAAAGAGCAUCCCCGACAAGUGGAAGUGCAUGAAGUACUCCGACGAGCUCGGCAAUGUGACGCAGCACCCCACCGCCAUCACGCAGGAGACUGUGAACAAGGUCUUGAAGGCUCUCAAGACGUACCCGGAGGGCUUCCAGCUGCACCCAAAGCUGAAGGCGGUGCUGGACCGCCGUAACGAGACUAUUGAGACCGGCGAGGGCAUCGAGUGGGGCACAGCGGAGGCGCUGGCGUUUGGGUCUCUGCUGCUGGAGGGACAUCAGGUGCGUGUUACCGGCGAGGAUGUCGAGCGCGGCACGUUUGCGCAGCGCCACGCCGUUAUCCACGACCAGAGUCAGGAGCGCACCUAUGUCCCGCUGGCGCACAUCAGCGACAUGCAGGGGAGGAUGAUCAUUAACAACAGCCCGCUUAGCGAGUACGGCAUGCUCGGCUACGCCGCCGGCUACUCACUCUACGACCCCACCUCGCUGGUCAUCUGGGAGGCUCAGUACGGCGACUUCGCCAACGGCGCCACAAUCGUGUUCGACCAGUUUCUGAGCGCUGGCGAGUCCAAGUGGAAUCAGCAGCAGUCGUGCAUCGUGACGCUGCCGCACGGGUACGACGGAAAGGGCGCUGAGCACAGCAGCGGACGCCUCGAGCGUUUUCUGCAGAUGAGCAGCGAGGAUGUGACGACGCCGGCCUACAGCAAGGAGGAGCGGGCCCACCGCAUCAACUGGGAGAUCGCGUACCCGAGCACGCCGGCCCAGUACUUCCACCUGCUGCGCCGCCACCAGAAGCGCAACUUCCGCAAGGCGCUGGUCAUCUUCUUCUCCAAGAAGUACCUGCGCGCGCCGAACGUGUCGACGCUGGAGGAGUUUACAAACGGUGAGUUUCAGUCGGUCAUCCCAGAUCUAUCCGUUCCGGCCAGCCAGGCGCGCCGCCUCGUGAUGUGCACUGGCCAAAUCUACCACUACCUCAACAAGUAUCGGGAGACGAAAGGCGUGAAGGAUGUGGCGCUCGUGCGUGUGGAGGAGCUCUCGCCGUUCCCGGUGGCGGAGGUGCAGCAGCUGCUUGCCGAGUAUGAGAAGGCGGAGCUCAUGUGGGCGCAGGAGGAGCCGAAGAACAUGGGAUCCUGGGCCCACGUCGAGCCGCGCAUUGAGGAGUACACGAAGGGCGAGCGGGAGCUGCGCUACGCCGGCCGCAGCAUUACAGCGGCCCCGUCGACCGGGUACAAGAGCAAGCACGACAAAGAGCAGGAGAUCAUCUGCGAGAUGGUCUUCCACUGAGGCUCGGGUUUACCUCCCCACCUCGUGCAAGCAAGGUGGGGACGCAGAAGCGUCGCUGUGCCGCGCACACGAAGGCUGCUUUUCGCUUGCGAGCCUGUCUUUCUCUUCUCCUCCUUUGCAAACAUUUCUUUUCGCGCUUCCCAAGAGCUUCUGGUGACUUUACUGUGUAAAAGUUAUUGGGAUGCCCUCAAGCGGCCAUGAAAAAAUGAUGCCGAUGGUGAAGGAAAAGGUUUGGCGGAGCGGGAGUGCGUGCAUGUCGAUGCGCGCUCCUCCUCCACUUAUGCUGGCAUCGCAACACCUCACAGACACGCUCAUGCAGGCACUGGCUACCUGGCCACAGAUGUUUCGUCAAGCAGAAUUGGUAAGCGGGCUCGUGUCUCUCUAGUUGUUUAUUUUCUCUCUUGAUGUGUGCUGAUGUGCGUCUGCAGUAUGUUGUCUCGACGCUAUUCGUAACAGCGUCCGUCCGCCCCCCUCCACCUCGCCCCAGCACACACGCACGCACACAUGCACGCGCUCGUUAAAGGUGGAGAGACGAGAGGUGUUUCCCUCCCCCUCUUCCCAAAGUUGCGAGACCCGGGUUCUCUUGGUGGGCGAGGAAGCUUAUGAAUGGUCUGUAUUGCACCUGUUUGUUUCGCCGUGGGAGUGCACCGGUGAAUGCGGUGCUUGAUGUGGGUGGAGCCGUGGCCUUAAAACAAAAAUGCAGCCGCCAUUGGGGGUUGCGUCGGUGUACUUGCUUUGGUAUUGUGCGCGACUCGUGGCAGCGAUGCAUUGGUGCCCAUAUAUAUACAUAUAUACAUAUACAUAUACAUAUACAUAUACAUAUAUAUAUAUGCAAUGUAGAAAAAUAUGUUCUAUGUAUGUGUUUCUCCCUCCUGUGCUAUGCUUCGUUUCUUGGUUUGCUUUUGCUGUGCUGUGCCUCCCUCUCUUUAUGCUUAUGCCUUGUCGAUGAUAUGCCGCGUCCGUCUUUGUUCGUCGCUUGCUCU